UUGAACGCUGGCGGUAUGCUUUACACAUGCAAGUCGAACGGAGUUGGAGCUUGCUCCAAUUUAGUGGCGAACGGGUGAGUAAUAUAUCGGAACAUAUCCGGAAGUGGGGGAUAACGUAGCGAAAGUUACGCUAAUACCGCAUAUGCCCUGAGGGGGAAAGGGGGGGAUCGCAAGACCUCUCGCUUUCGGAGUGGCCGAUAUCGGAUUAGCUAGUAGGUGAGGUAAAGGCUCACCUAGGCGACGAUCCGUAGCUGGUCUGAGAGGACGACCAGCCACACUGGAACUGAGACACGGUCCAGACUCCUACGGGAGGCAGCAGUGGGGAAUUUUGGACAAUGGGCGAAAGCCUGAUCCAGCCAUACCGCGUGAGUGAAGAAGGCCUUCGGGUUGUAAAGCUCUUUCAGCCGGAAAGAAAACGUAUCCAUUAAUACUGGGUGCGGAUGACGGUACCGGAAGAAGAAGCACCGGCUAACUACGUGCCAGCAGCCGCGGUAAUACGUAGGGUGCGAGCGUUAAUCGGAAUUACUGGGCGUAAAGCGUGCGCAGGCGGUUUUUUAAGCCAGAUGUGAAAUCCCCGGGCUUAACCUGGGAACUGCAUUUGGAACUGGAAGACUAGAGUGUAGCAGAGGGGGGUAGAAUUCCACGUGUAGCAGUGAAAUGCGUAGAUAUGUGGAGGAAUACCGAUGGCGAAGGCAGCCCCCUGGGUUAACACUGACGCUCAUGCACGAAAGCGUGGGGAGCAAACAGGAUUAGAUACCCUGGUAGUCCACGCCCUAAACGAUGUCAACUAGGUGUUGGGGGAGGAGACUUCCUUAGUACCGUAGCUAACGCGUGAAGUGACCGCC
rnacentral:rRNA from 1 species